CGACCGGCGCACGGGUGAGUAACACGUAUGCAACCUGGCCGUGACUGAUGGAUAACCGGGAGAAAUCCCGCCUAAUACAGCAUGACGCCGCGGGAGGACAUCCUCCCGCGGCCAAAGGGGCGACCCGGUCACGGAUGGGCAUGCGGCGCAUUAGGUAGUUGGUGGGGCAACAGCCCACCAAGCCGACGAUGCGUAGGGGUUCUGAGAGGAAGGUCCCCCACAUUGGAACUGAGACACGGUCCAAACUCCUACGGGAGGCAGCAG
rnacentral:rRNA from 1 species